UGCUACGGUGAAUACGUUCCCGGGCCUUGUACACACCGCCCGUCAAACAAUGGAAGUUGGGGUACCUAAAGUCGAGUAACCGCAAGGAGUCGCCUAGGGUAAAACCGAUAACUGGUGUU
rnacentral:rRNA from 1 species